GAUAACGUCUGGGUAAUCGCUGCAAUGCAAAUUGUAGAGGAAAGUCCAUGCUCGCACAGGCUGAGAUGCCUGUAGUGUUCGUGCCUAGCCCAAUAAGCUAGGGCAGCCUGUUUCAGGCUGACGGCCGGGAAAGCACCUAAGUCUUUGUGAUAUGGUGCCGGUACCUAUAAAAGUGCCACAGUGACGGAGCCUUUCUGGAAACAGGAAGGGUGGAACGAGGUAAACCCCGCGAGCGAGAAACCCAAAUUUGGUAGGGGCGCCUUUCCUAAGGAAAUGAACGAUGGGAAAGGGCAGAUUAUAUCUGAAGAUAGAUGAUUGCCGCCGGAGUACGAGAUUCUUCCAAUCGAUUGCAGUACGAAGGAACAGAACAUGGCUUACAGGACGUUAUCUAGG
rnacentral:RNase_P_RNA from 1 species